ACCUGCAUCUUUGACAACAUAAUCAAUGGAUGCUUCCACGGUAGAGUCAAUGUAGUCACAUUUGAUUUCGAGACUCUUUAUCAAAUUAGCCCUGAUUAUAUCACCUCCCAGUUCCAUUUAGGGAUCCUUUCCCUGCCAAUUAUGCAAAAAGACAUUUGGUUUCCUUCUUUCUCCUGCAAGUUGUCAUCAGAGGCGCCUGCGACUCUAUCCAAGAUCCAAGAAUUCUUCCUUUAAUUCAGAAUUCAUCUCACAGCCCACUUCCUCCAGAAAACUUGCACCAGCAAUGGUGUGAAGUCCUAUCUGUCCCACAAAACAAGACCAUCUGAACACUUGGCCUUCAAUAGUCUGAAAAACCAAGAGACAGCGAUAAACCUUUUUCUCUGGAAUGUAAACUCUUUCAUGCUUGGUGUGAUGCAAGAGUGUAGUAAUUUUACACAUCUACCAUAGCCGGCACUGUUUGGGUGAUGGAGAUACAGAGAGAAGCACAUGACGUAUGAUUCUUCAGGAGCUGCUGGGCUAGUGCUGGGAUGAUGGCAAACAUAUAAACCCUCGGCAGGGGAGGCAACAUGGGAGCUGUGUCCUUGGUGAUGGCAGGUAGUAAGGAAAGGGCAUUCAAGGGCCUGGUGCCUCCAGAGACGAGGAAGGGAGCCCGGGGCAUAUGGAGGGCCUGGAGAGGCUCAGGUCAGAGCUAAGACCAGAGGUACAGUGAGGCUAUGGUGUGGAAGGGACUUGAACACCAACCUAGGGGGAUUUGACUUGAUGCAGAAGGCAACUGGGAGCCACAUUGUUUCUAAGUCAGGGGAUGAACAUGCUCCGAUUGCUAUGGAAGAAUUUUCCAAGCAGCGCUAUUGAAAAGAGUGAUGGAGCCUGGAUGCAGGGAGACAUGGCAUCUGGAGGCUGCUGCAGCCCUUGGUACUUCCGGUGGCCUAGCAGCACAUUUGAACAAGAUCAUCUCAGCAAAGCAAAGGACAGGACUGCUCUGUACAGAAUGCAGUAGCAAAUAAGAGAGGCUGAACUUCACCGGUCUUCUAUUUGGCAGUACUACAGAAUGCCUCCCUUCCCUCUUCUGAGAGAGACAGCGGACAAUUUCAGCACAGAAGGCCGUGCACGUUUGCUUGGAAAUCUAGGUCAUGACCUUGACUUUGGGAAAGCCAGGGUAGCCUACCUGAAACUGUCCAAUCCCCCAGCAUCGUGGACACGUCCCCAAGUCCCUCAAGAUGUCUGUUCUGGUCUGAGCCGUCCGUAGUAGUGUCCAGGGAAAGCAGGGGUAGCUCAAAAAUUUCUGUCAAGAGUUUUAGUGCUGCAAGCCUGGUUGGGACAGGGCGGUGGAGGGCUGGAAAUACUGUUUUUGACUUUGAAUUUGAUUUUAUAAUGUAUUAGAUGGAUAGAUAGAUGCGAAAUGGAAUUGUUAACAUGUAUGUGGAGGGGCGGGAAGAGUUUCUGGAAAGCCCCAUCCCUGAGUGCCUACUCCUGAGUGGGAAAAACCCCUGCACGGGCUGGGAGCGCUCCCUAAUUCGUCCAGAAGUAAAAUCGCAUGGCCUGUGUUCCAAAAAUGCCGCCACUCAGGAUGUCAAGUCUGCACGUUUGCAGCUUUGAGAGCCGAGCCCCAGGCAGAGGCACCGCGCAGGCCUGGAUGUACAGG
rnacentral:lncRNA from 1 species